AGUGGAUGGGGAGCAACCUAGUUGUGCGUGUGUAAAGGUAGUGCCAAGAAAAGCGAUGAUCAUGUUGAAAAUCAAUUCCCGGUACCCGAAACCGACACAGGUGGGCAAGUAGAGAAUACUAAGGGGCGCGAGGUAACUCUCUCCAAGGAACUCGGCAAAAUGACCCCGUAACUUAGGGAGAAGGGGUGCCACCGAGAGGUGGUCGCAGUGAAGAGGCCCAGGCGACUGUUUAGCAAAAACAUAGGUCUCUGCAAACUCGAAAGAGGAGGUAUAGGGGCUGACGCCUGCCCAGUGCCGGAAGGUUAAAGAAGUUGGUCAGUCUUAGGAUGAAGCUAGCGACUGAAGCCCCGGCGAACGGCGGCCGUAACUAUAACGGUCCUAAGGUAGCGAAAUUCCUUGUCGGGUAAGUUCCGACCCGCACGAAAGGCGUAACGAUCUGGGCGCUGUCUCGGAGAGAGGCUCGGCGAAAUAGGAUUGUCUGUGAAGAUACGGACUACCUGCAUUUGGACAGAAAGACCCUAUGAAGCUUUACUAUAGCUUGGAAUUGUGUUCGGGCUUCCUGUGCGCAGGAUAGGUGGGAGGCAUAGAAGGUAUUCUUGUGGGGAUACUGGAGCCAACGGUGAGAUACCACUCUCAGGAGGCUAGAAUUCUAACUUAAUUGAGGACAGUUUCAGGUGGGUAGUUUGACUGGGGCGGUCGCCUCCAAAAAGGUAACGGAGGCGUACAAAGGUUCCCUCAGACUGGUUGGAAAUCAGUCGAAGAGUGCAAAGGCAGAAGGGAGCUUGACUGCGAGAAGUACAGUUCGAGCAGGGUGGAAACACGGUCUUAGUGAUCCGACGGUGCUGUGUGGAAGGGCCGUCGCUCAACGGAUAAAAGUUACUCUAGGAUAACAGGCUGAUCUCCCCCAAGAGUUCACAUCGACGGGGAGGUUUGGCACCUCGAUGUCGGCUCAUCGCAACCUGGGGCGGAAGUACGUCCCAAGGGUUGGGCUGUUCGCCCAUUAAAGCGGUACGUGAGCUGGGUUCAGAACGUCGUGAGACAGUUCGGUCCAUAUCCGAUGUAGGCGUGAGAAUAUUGAGAGGAGCCUUCCUUAGUACGAGAGGACCGGGAAGGACGCACCGCUGGUGUACCUGUUAUGAUGCCAAUUGUAAACGCAGGGUAGCCAAGUGCGGAGAGGAUAACCGCUGAAAGCAUCUAAGUGGGAAGCCCACCUCAAGAUGAGUAUUCUGGUGUAAGGUCACGGGAAGACGACCCGUAAAUAGGCACGAGGUGGAAGUGCAGAGAUGUAUGAAGCCGAAGUGUACUAAUAGACCGUCGGCUUG
rnacentral:rRNA from 1 species